AGAGGAACCUAGGACGCUCCAGGAAUCGGGUGUGCCUGGCCCUGGCCGGGGGCUGCCCCCGGGAGCAGCGUCCAGGCCCAUGGCGGAUGCAGUCUAGAGGACUGCCUGGAGGAGGCGGCGCCGGGGCGAGACCUCCAGAGCGCAAGGCCGGCGGGAGAAAAGCUGAGGAAGUGGGAAAUCUGUGGCUGGAGCUCAGCAGGGAGGAUUUCUUCUCCACGCUGUCCUCGAGGGCCGCCCUGAACAUGUUGUAGUGGAGCUUCCGUCUGUCUUCAGCUUCCGUCAACACUGAACCAGCUCAUCUAAGCACCAGACACAAGAUUUUACUGCUUUUGUCAGGUGGAGUGGGAAGUCGCACCCACGUCUGGCCAGUUGGGUCGGCUGUAACUCAGACUUUGGACUGACUUGUCACCCAGCUCAUAUAGCAAGGAGUUCCUGAUGGCAGCUGGGGGAGCUGACAUCAGUGUCAGCUCAGACUCUUAGGCAGUUACCUCAAUCCUCCCAAUAGUUCCUAAUCCUUACACAAUAUGGAGCCAAGUCCCUAAAGAUGCUCAUUGGUUCACAGUAUUAGACUUAAUGCCUAAUUAAGGAUGUUUUCUUGUGUAUACCUUUACACCUGGACUCCCAGUAUAUUUUUGCUUUUGAAUGAACUGAU
rnacentral:lncRNA from 1 species